rnacentral:rRNA from 1 species
CCUACGGGAGGCAGCAGUGAGGAAUAUUGGUCAAUGGGCGCAAGCCUGAACCAGCCAAGUAGCGUGAAGGAUGACGGCCCUAUGAGUUGUAAACUUCUUUUGUAUGGGAAUAAAGUUCAGUAUGUAUACUGCUUUGCAUGUACCUUAUGAAUAAGGAUCGGCUAACUCCGUGCCAGCAGCCGCGGUAAUACGGAGGAUCCGAGCGUUAUCCGGAUUUAUUGGGUUUAAAGGGAGCGUAGGCGGGUGGUUAAGUGAGUUGUGAAAUGUUGGGGCUCAACCGUGAAAUUGCAGUUGAUACUGGCAGCCUUGAGUACAGAAGAGGUAGGCGGAAUGCGUGGUGUAGCGGUGAAAUGCUUAGAUAUCACGAAGAACACCGAUUGCGAAGGCAGCCUGCUGGACUGUAACUGACGCUGAUGCUCGAAAGUGUGGGUAUCAAACAGGAUUAGAUACCCGAGUAGUC